CCUACGGGGGGCAGCAGUGAGGAAUAUUGGUCAAUGGACGAGAGUCUGAACCAGCCAAGUAGCGUGAAGGAUGACUGCCCUAUGGGUUGUAAACUUCUUUUAUAAAGGAAUAAAACGAGGCACGUGUGCCUUUUUGUAUGUACUUUAUGAAUAAGGAUCGGCUAACUCCGUGCCAGCAGCCGCGGUAAUACGGAGGAUCCGAGCGUUAUCCGGGUUUAUUGGGUUUAAAGGGAGCGUAGAUGGGUUGUUAAGUCAGUUGUGAAAGUUUGCGGCUCAACCGUAAAAUGGCAAUUGAUACUGGCAGUCUUGAGUACAGUUGAGGUAGGCGGAAUUCGUGGUGUAGCGGUGAAAUGCUUAGAUAUCACGAAGAACCCCGAUUGCGAAGGCAGCUUACUAAACUGUGACUGACAUUGAUGCACGAAAGUGUGGGUAUCAAACAGGAUUAGAUACCCUUGUAGUC
rnacentral:rRNA from 1 species